UUGUGGAUUUUGACUUUCAAG
rnacentral:piRNA from 1 species